rnacentral:rRNA from 1 species
AUUGAACGCUGGCGGCAGGCCUAACACAUGCAAGUCGAGCGGAGCGGCGGACGGGGGCGUGAGGCCUAUGACUCUGCCUGGUAGUGGGGGAUAACGUCCGGAAACGGGCGCUGAUACCGCAUCCUAUCGGCAUAACCUCGGCCGGAUUAGCUAGUUGGUGGGGUAAAGGCCUACCAAGGCGACGAUCCGUAACUGGUCUGAGAGGAUGAUCAGCCACACUGGAACUGAGACACGGUCCAGACUCCUACGGGAGGCAGCAGUGGGGAAUAUUGGACAAUGGGCGAAAGCCUGAUCCAGCCAUGCCGCGUGUGUGAAGAAGGUCUUCGGAUUGUAAAGCACUUUAAGUUGGGAGGCGUUACCAGCAGAAGAAGCACCGGCUAACUUCGUGCCAGCAGCCGCGGUAAUUC